GACGAACGCUGGCGGCGUGCUUAACACAUGCAAGUCGAACGGAAAGGCCCUGCUUUUGUGGGGUGCUCGAGUGGCGAACGGGUGAGUAACACGUGAGUAACCUGCCCUUGACUUUGGGAUAACUUCAGGAAACUGGGGCUAAUCCCGGAUAGGAGCUCCUGCUGCAUGGUGGGGGUUGGAAAGUUUCGGCGGUUGGGGAUGGACUCGCGGCUUUUCAGCUUGUUGGUGGGGUAGUGGCUUACCAAGGCUUUGACGGGUAGCCGGCCUGAGAGGGUGACCGGCCACAUUGGGACUGAGAUACGGCCCAGACUCCUACGGGAGGCAGCAGUGGGGAAUAUUGCACAAUGGGCGGAAGCCUGAUGCAGCAACGCCGCGUGCGGGAUGACGGCCUUCGGGUUGUAAACCGCUUUCGCCUGUGACGAAGCGUGAGUGACGGUAAUGGGUAAAGAAGCACCGGCUAACUACGUG
rnacentral:rRNA from 1 species